rnacentral:lncRNA from 10 species
AAAAAGCACACUUAAACUAGCGCAAGCAAAGGAGUAUUUACUAUAAAGAUAUACAGGACAUGGUAAGGGAUCCUGAAAUGCAAAUACAGGAAUUGUAAAUGGAUGUCAAUACAUUAUAGGAAAGGUUCAGAGUUCAGGCUCUCAAAGGAGACUGCAAAGGUUAGUCUUUGGGAGGCAUCAUUUGCUCACUCUACGGCCUUAAGAAACAGUUUAACUUUUCUGUGCCUUGAUAUGUAGAGUGGUGUUCCCAUAUGUAGAGUAGACUGUGGUCCCAACCUCUUAAAGUAGUUGGGAAGAUAAAAUGAGUUAAUCCUUGUGGACCAUUUGGAAUACUACCUGACACAGGAUUCACUCGCAAAAACAACUGAUGGCUGAAACUGGAUCCCUUCCUUACACCUUAUACAAAAAUUAAUUCAAGAUGGAUUAAAGACUUAAAUGUUAGACCUAAAACCAUAAAAACCCUAGAAGAAAACCUAGGCAAUACCAUUCAGGACAUAGGCAUGGGCAAGGACUUCAUGUCUAAAACACCAAAAGCAAUGGCAACAAAAACCAAAAUUGACAAAUGGGAUCUAAUUAAACUAAAGAGCUUCUGCACAGCAAAAGAAACUACCAUCAGAGUGAACAGGCAACCUACAGAAUGGGAGAAAAUUUUUGCAACCUACUCAUCUGACAAAGGGCUAAUAUCCAGAAUCUACAAUGAACUCAAAGAAAUUUACAAGAAAAAAAAAACCUAUCAAAAAGUGGGCGAAGGAUAUGAACAGACACUUCUCAAAAGAAGAC